GUGGGGAAUCUUGCGCAAUGGGCGAAAGCCUGACGCAGCCAUGCCGCGUGAAUGAUGAAGGUCUUAGGAUUGUAAAAUUCUUUCACCGGGGACGAUAAUGACGGUACCCGGAGAAGAAGCUCCGGCUAACUUCGUGCCAGCAGCCGCGGUAAUACGCAGGGGGCUAGCGUUGCUCGGAAUUACUGGGCGUAAAGGGCGCGUAGGCGGACAGCUUAGUCAGAGGUGAACGCCCAGGGCUCAACCUUGGAAUUGCCUUUGAUACUGGCUGUCUUGAGUUUGGGAGAGGUGAGUGGAACUCCGAGUGUAGAGGUGAAAUUCGUAGAUAUUCGGAAGAACACCAGGGGCGAAGGCGACAUACUGGCUCAUUACUGACGCUGAGGCGCGAAAGCGUGGGGAGCAAACAGGAUUAGAUACCCGAGUAGUCC
rnacentral:rRNA from 1 species